GACGAACGCUGGCGGCGUGCUUAACACAUGCAAGUCGAACGAAGUGGCGAACGGGUGAAUAACGCGUAAUCAACCUGCCCUUCAGAGGGGGACAACAGUUGGAAACGACUGCUAAUACCGCAUACUGAAGGCGGGGAUUGCGUCUGAUUAGCUAGUUGGCGGGGUAACGGCCCACCAAGGCGAUGAUCAGUAGCCUGUCGGAGAGGAUGACCGGCCACAUUGGGACUGAGACACGGCCCAGACUCCUACGGGAGGCAGCAGUGGGGAAUUUUGGACAAUGGGCGCAAGCCUGAGCCAGCCAUGCCGCGUGUCUGAAGAAGGCCUUCGGGUUGUAAAGGACUUUUGUCAGGGAAGCGGUACCUGAAGAAUAAGCACCGGCUAACUACGUGCCAGCCGCCGCGGUAAUUC
rnacentral:rRNA from 1 species